rnacentral:lncRNA from 1 species
GGUUGUCCGAUGAAAACACAAGUCAGGCUUUUUGGUAAACUCAAAUAUUGGAAUUCUCAUGUAUUCGAGACUAUCUUUCAUAAGAAAAGAAGUCUAUUAAACCGUUUAAAGGGAGUUCAUAUUCGUUUGGCCUCUUCUCUCAUCCUAAAUGGGUCAAGCUUGAUUUUAAUCUUAGGAACCAAUUGGAGCAAGUCUUAGCAUAAGAGGAGCUUCACUGGUUU